rnacentral:tRNA from 1 species
GGGGCAGGGGCUCAGUGGUAGAGCACCCACCUAGCAUGUGUGGGGCCCUGGGUUCCAUCCUCAGCACCA